rnacentral:rRNA from 1 species
AACGCGAAGAACCUUACCUGGGCUUGACAUCCUCGGAAUCCUCCAGAAAUGGGGGAGUGCCUUCGGGAGCCGAGAGACAGGUGGUGCACGGUUGUCGUCAGCUCGUGUCGUGAGAUGUUGGGUUAAGUCCCGCAACGAGCGCAACCCUCGUUGUCUGUUGCUACAGGCUGCAAAGUGCUGAGCACUCAGGCGAGACUGCCGGUGACAAACCGGAGGAAGGUGGGGAUGACGUCAAAUCAUCAUGCCCCUUAUGUCCAGGGCUACACACGUGUUACAAUGGGAUAGGACAACGGGCAGCAAGCUAGCAAUAGCAAGCUAAUCCCUUAAACCUACCCUCAGUUCGGAUUGGAGUCUGCAACUCGACUCCAUGAAGUCGGAAUCGCUAGUAAACGCGGAUCAGCCAUGCCGCGUUGAAUACGUUCCCGGGCCUUGUA